rnacentral:rRNA from 1 species
UAAUAAGACGUGGGAAUACUCGGGAAACCGGAGCUAAUACCGGAUAAUAUUUCGAACCGCAUGGUUCGAUAGUGAAAGGUGGUUUUGCUAUCACUUAUAGAUGGACCCGCGCCGUAUUAGCUAGUUGGUAAGGUAACGGCUUACCAAGGCGACGAUACGUAGCCGACCUGAGAGGGUGAUCGGCCACACUGGAACUGAGACACGGUCCAGACUCCUACGGGAGGCAGCAGAC